GCAGUCCAUGGAGUGCCGCUGUGUGAUUGAGGCGCAGGCUGUGCCUUGCAGUGUCACUUGGAGGAGAAGGGCUGGGCCGUCUGAGGACGGAGAGGACUGGGUGGAGGAGCCAACAGUACUGGUGUUGCUCCGGGCAGAGGCAUUUGUGUCCAUGAUCGACAAUGGAAAGCAGGGAAGCCUGGACAGCACUAUGAAAGGCAAGGAAACGCUUCAGGGCUUUGUAACUGACAUCACGGCAAGGACAGCAGGGAAAGCUCUGUCACUGGUGAUUGUGGAUCAGGAGAAAUGCUUCAGUGCUCAGAAUCCUCCAAGAAGAGGGAAACAGGGAGCAAAUAAACAGACCAAGGAGAAGCAGCAGAGACAACCAGAGGCCAGCAUAGGGUCCAUGGUAUCCAGGGUAGACGCUGAAGAGGCAUUGGUGGAUCUGCAGCUACACACAGAAGCCCAGGCUCAAAUUGUGCAGAGCUGGAAAGAGCUAGCCGACUUCACAUGCGCAUUCACAAAGGCUGUGGCUGAGGUGCCCUUCAAGUGAGUAACCCCAGCAAGUCCAGCCUCCACGCUG
rnacentral:sRNA from 1 species